UAAGGAAUAUUGGUCAAUGGACGCAAGUCUGAACCAGCCAUGCCGCGUGGAGGAUGAAGGUCCUCUGGAUUGUAAACUUCUUUUAUCUGGGACGAAAAAGGGCUUUUCUAAGCCAACUGACGGUACCAGAUGAAUAAGCACCGGCUAACUCCGUGCCAGCAGCCGCGGUAAUACGGAGGGUGCAAGCGUUAUCCGGAUUCACUGGGUUUAAAGGGUGCGUAGGCGGGUAAUUAAGUCAGUGGUGAAAUACCUGAGCUUAACUUGGGAACUGCCAUUGAUACUAUUUAUCUUGAAUGUUGUGGAGGUCAGCGGAAUAUGUCAUGUAGCGGUGAAAUGCUUAGAUAUGACAUAGAACACCUAUUGCGAAGGCAGCUGGCUACGCAAAUAUUGACGCUGAGGCACGAAAGCGUGGGGAUCAAACAGGAUUAGAUACCCCGGUAGUCC
rnacentral:rRNA from 1 species